GCCUUGCCAGCCCGCUACAGAAACUUAAAGGAAGUUGACGGGGGCCCGCACAAGCGGUGGAGUAUGUGGUUUAAUUCGAUGCAACGCGAAGAACCUUACCUGGUCUUGACAUCCCGGAGACCCUUAGGAAACUAGGGGGUGCUUCCAUCUGGAAGAAUCUGGAGACAGGUGCUGCAUGGCUGUCGUCAGCUCGUGUCGUGAGAUGUUGGGUUAAGUCCCGCAACGAGCGCAACCCUUGCCUUUAGUUGCCAGCAGUUCGGCUGGGCACUCUAAAGGGACUGCCGGUGUUAAACCGGAGGAAGGUGGGGAUGACGUCAAGUCCUCAUGGCCUUUAUGACCAGGGCUACACACGUACUACAAUGGCCGAUACAAAGGGCAGCGACACUGCGAGGUGAAGCCAAUCCCGUAAAAUCGGUCUCAGUCCGGAUUGGAGUCUGCAACUCGACUCCAUGAAGUUGGAAUCGCUAGUAAUCGUGGAUCAGCAUGCCACGGUGAAUACGUUCCCGGGCCUU
rnacentral:rRNA from 1 species